GAAAUGCGAUACUUGGUGUGAAUUGCAGAAUCCCGUGAACCAUCGAGUCUUUGAACGCAAGUUGCGCCCGAAGCCAUUAGGCCGAGGGCACGCCUGCCUGGGUGUCACACAUCGUUUCCCCAACGCAAACAUGUAACAAUGUUGCUGCGCGGGGUGUAUGCUGACCUCCCGCGAGCAACCCCCAAUUUUUUUCAGGUUGACCUCAGGUCAGGCGGGGCUACCCGCUGAGUUUAA
rnacentral:misc_RNA from 1 species